rnacentral:rRNA from 1 species
CCUACGGGGGGCUGCAGUGAGGAAUAUUGGUCAAUGGACGAGAGUCUGAACCAGCCAAGUAGCGUGAAGGAUGACUGCCCUAUGGGUUGUAAACUUCUUUUAUAUGGGAAUAAAAUGUUCCACGUGUGGGAUUUUGUAUGUACCAUAUGAAUAAGGAUCGGCUAACUCCGUGCCAGCAGCCGCGGUAAUACGGAGGAUCCGAGCGUUAUCCGGAUUUAUUGGGUUUAAAGGGAGCGUAGGUGGAUUGUUAAGUCAGUUGUGAAAGUUUGCGGCUCAACCGUAAAAUUGCAGUUGAAACUGGCAGUCUUGAGUACAGUAGAGGUGGGCGGAAUUCGUGGUGUAGCGGUGAAAUGCUUAGAUAUCACGAAGAACUCCGAUUGCGAAGGCAGUUCACUGGACUGCAACUGACACUGAGGCUCGAAAGUGUGGGUAUCAAACAGGAUUAGAUAUCCGUGUAGUC